CCGGCACCGGUUCACCCCGCACGGGGACCCGGGGCC
rnacentral:ncRNA from 1 species